rnacentral:rRNA from 1 species
UACGUAGGGAGCAAGCGUUGUCCGGAAUCAUUGGGCGUAAAGCGCGCGUAGGGGGCUUCGUAAGUCCGUUGUGAAAGUCAAAGGCUCAACCUUUGAAAGCCGAUGGAUACUGCGGAGCUAGAGUACGGAAGAGGCGAGUGGAAUUCCUGGUGUAGCGGUGGAAUGCGCAGAUAUCAGGAGGAACACCAAUAGCGAAGGCAGCUCGCUGGGACGUUACUGACACUGAGGCGCGAAAGCGUGGGGAGCGAACAGG